rnacentral:rRNA from 1 species
CCGGAAAAAGAGGAGUGGCGAACGGGUGAGUAACACGUGGGUAACCUGCCCAUCAGAAGGGGAUAACACUUGGAAACAGGUGCUAAUACCGUAUAACAAUCRAAACCGCAUGGUUUUGAUUUGAAAGGCGCUUUCGGGUGUCGCUGAUGGAUGGACCCGCGGUGCAUUAGCUAGUUGGUGAGGUAACGGCUCACCAAGGCCACGAUGCAUAGCCGACCUGAGAGGGUGAUCGGCCACAUUGGGACUGAGACACGGCCCAAACUCCUACGGGAGGCAGCAGUAGGGAAUCUUCGGCAAUGGACGAAAGUCUGACCGAGCAACGCCGCGUGAGUGAAGAAGGUUUUCGGAUCGUAAAACUCUGUUGUUAGAGAAGAACAAGGAUGAGAGUAACUGUUCAUCCCUUGACGGUAUCUAACCAGAAAGCCACGGCUAACUACGUGCCAGCAGCCGCGGUAAUACGUAGGUGGCAAGCGUUGUCCGGAUUUAUUGGGCGUAAAGCGAGCGCAGGCGGUUUCUUAAGUCUGAUGUGAAAGCCCCCGGCUCAACCGGGGAGGGUCAUUGGAAACUGGGAGACUUGAGUGCAGAAGAGGAGAGUGGAAUUCCAUGUGUAGCGGUGAAAUGCGUAGAUAUAUGGAGGAACACCAGUGGCGAAGGCGGCUCUCUGGUCUGUAACUGACGCUGAGGCUCGAAAGCGUGGGGAGCAAACAGGAUUAGAUACCCUGGUAGUCCACGCCGUAAACGAUGAGUGCUAAGUGUUGGAGGGUUUCCGCCCUUCAGUGCUGCAGCUAACGCAUUAAGCACUCCGCCUGGGGAGUACGACCGCAAGGUUGAAACUCAAAGGAAUUGACGGGGGCCCGCACAAGCGGUGGAGCAUGUGGUUUAAUUCGAAGCAACGCGAAGAACCUUACCAGGUCUUGACAUCCUUUUGACCACUCUA